rnacentral:piRNA from 1 species
UGUAGACCUCCGUGUGAAUUUGG